GCUCUUAGGUUAUACUCAAACUGGACUUUAUGUCUCUAACUCCGUUUUGCGUGCCCUCCUGGUGUCACUGAAGAAGUUGCCUCCUAGUAUGCCGCCUGAACAGAGAGUCAAGGAGUUUUUGUCGUUGCUGACAGAAAAGAGCACUUAAGCACAUCAUGACGUGCUGAUGGAAUCAACCUGUUUAAAAUAAAGUUUAUGAAAAGUUUGUUUUUUAAAAAUGUAAAUUGUUUAGAAUUCAUUUUUUGUUAACGAAUGUUUUACAAA